GACAGAGGUGCUGAGCGUUAGGCGGAAUCACUGGGCUUAAAGCGUGUGUAGGCGGCGGCGUAAGUACCUUGUGAAAUCCCACGGCUCAACCGUGGAACUGCUCGGUAUACUGCGUCGCUUGAGCCAGCUAGGGGCGACCGGAACAAACGGUGGAGCGGUGAAAUGCGUAGAUAUCGUUUGGAACGCCGAUGGUGAAAACAGGUCG
rnacentral:rRNA from 1 species